CGGGAUGAGGCAACACCCCGACGUUCGGGACGUGGGGGUCGCAGGUUCAAAUCCUGCCACUCCGACCA
rnacentral:tRNA from 1 species